rfam:Brachypodium distachyon strain Bd21 chromosome 4, whole genome shotgun sequence.
UACUCAGUGAUUAGAGCCAAUUACAUUGGCAAUAUACGACACGGACCUUAUUUGGUUGAAAAGUUCGAUAGGAGAGUU